ensembl:lncRNA
CGGGCACGGGGUGCCCCCAGGCGGAGCCGUCCUCUCCCGUCUGCCUGGAGGCUGCUCUCCGGGACGGGGCCCUUAAAGGGCGGUGCGAACGCUUUAUGUUGGCUGUGCGAGGAGGCGACUCUCCUGGCGGAGCUGCUGGCUUUGGGCUGAUGCUCGAGUGGCUGUGGGAGAAGGGCACCUGGUCUGCAGUGCCCACCCAGGCCUAAAACGCAGCCAGGUAACGCGCCCUCAGGUGUGUUAGUCUAUGGGUUAAUGAGCGCUGAGAGCUUUUGAUCUUGUUAACUCGAUUGAACCAACGUUAUUGGAAAAUAAAUCAGUUUAACCCGUUAGGAUGGAUGUCUGUGUCUGGUCCAAAAUAGAAAGCAUGUACUUUUUGAGAACAAACACGCUUUAAAACUGAGGUUUACACGUUUCAAAUGGUGUUUUAAUGCGUGUUAUCCAGCUAAAAUGAGCUUGGGCUUUAAUGAGGCCAGUUAACACAAUUUACAGGAUUAAUUUGUGCCCCAGCUCGGAGUGGCUAACUCGAUUUUAAAAGCACAUUUGUCUAGACAUGCAUUUAUGUGGGCUGGGUCUGAACCAUCUGCAAUUGUGAGCAAUUUGGGAUUGGACCUGUCUGUCACAGGGAUGGCAAAUGUGGGGCCAAUGUGGGGUCUUCCCAGGAGGAACAUUGUUCUCUGCUGUGUGUGUGCUCUUGUCCUAGGUCAUGGGGAAGUGUCCUGCCAUAGAGCCGGGCCAGAAGGCUGUAGGAUGGCCUGAACACAAACCCUGAAUCUACAGUUUGACAGAAAGUCUUUCAGAGGCGUGAGUCCUACCGCCCCUCUUAGCAUCUUUGAAACAGGAGCUAAAAUGCUGAUUUCAUGUUGGGUAUGUUGUAUUAUGGAAAAAAGAUGGAGACAAUGGAAACUGAAACACUGAAGAGAGGAAUACAGGAGUAUAAGUAUAUAAAAAUUAAGAAGAAAUAAACAAGGGACUGGGAGGACACAAGCACUUCAGGAUGGUUUAUUGAGUCAGUGCAAAAGAUGACAUUUAAGUCUUCAGUAACAGUCAAAGAGUUUGAUCUCUGUUUACAUCUGGUGCUAAUAUUUGUGAGUCCUCCUCUGGGUGAAGAGGAAAAUGCCACCAGCACAAAACACGUAUUCUGGUCCAGAAGCAAACGCUGAGCAUUCAAACCCUUCCACUCCCUGCGCAUACAACUCGCACCAGGGGCUGUGCUGCCCAGCAGAGACUUGCACGAACACUGCCCUAAUUCAGUCUGUGGCUUUCUUUGGGCAAUUAGGGAUAGGGUUUCUGAGGAACUUGUAAUUAACCAGGCUUAACUGACAGAUGCUGUCUUACCAACGUGAGCCAACGCUGCUAGCACCCAGUGAAUUUGGAACAACGUUCCCAUUCUUCCCCCUGCUUCUAGGUCUAAACCAUUGCACCACACAGGAAAGCUGGGAAGAAAAUUAACUCCAUCUCAGGCAGUGUCAGUACACACAGAUGGAAGGAGAUCACAACAGGGAUGAAGAGUGGAGAGACAAAAAUCACAGACUACACAUCAGAAAAUGACAUGCUUCAAACCAACAGAGUAACGUUUGCUGUUUACACUCCGCUCCAUCUCAAAAUCAGCACCUAAACAAGUGAAAAACAGUGCAGCCCACAUGCCACUCUGCUCAGAAAAGGUACUAUAGCAACACCAGAGAAAAACAAAUGAUCAUCACACAGAAGAGAAGGGAAUACGUAAUGAGUGUUCUUCAGGAAAAAAACAGGUUAGGAAGUGAAAGAAACAGUCCUUCAGGGAUCAAAAACGUGUCUUCAGCUUUUCUCUAUCCGUGGAAAAAAGAAAGUCCCCAGUAGGAUCUGUGCCUUGGGCCACUCUGCACAUCCUGUAGGAUGAGGGUGUGAGUGCACAGUGGUGCUCCUGAUGCUGGCUCUCCUGGCUGCAGAUCCUCUUGGACCCCCAGACAGCAGUGCUGUAGUGUCCUGGUGCAGCUACAAGCCAGGAGAACCCUUCUCCAGCUACCACACACACCUCCUGCAACACUAAAAGUGUUCCUCAGAUUCUGCACUUCUGAAUAUGAGACAUCUUCCUUCUGUAAGGAAGCUUUCUCGUUUAACCAAGUCCAGUUUGGGGAGGUGGUGUCUAAAUGUGCUUUUUUAUUGUUCAUUACUAGAAUCACCAUUGUGCAGCACUGCUCCAUGGUUUUUUACUUUUACACUGAGGACUGGAGUUUGGCCUUGGAAGCACUAAUGAGUGACCUAGUGGUGCAGAGCUGUCAAGGAUCAUCUGUCAUUUCAGACACAGAACUCAGAUGCUGUGAUUCAUGGCCUGUGUUUGGUGUCAACAGGAACAUUGUCCCAGUAAUGACAAACAAUUCAGCCUGCAUGUCCUUCUGCCCACCUGAGCAGCUCCCAUGGUAAGUGAGCUAGCAGCUGCGUUUCAUGGCUCUUCCAAGAACGAUUUGACAAGAAGAUUUGCUUUCCCUUGUUCAGAACACAUCAGAUAGAUGGCCAGUACUUCCUUUCUUGUUGCAAGUCCCAGCUCCUGAGGUAUGCUCUGUGAUGCUUCAGUAGAGUCCUUCAUUAAGUAUACUUUUGUCUUAAUUGGACUGAGAUCAUGUAUCUGUAUUUUACAGUAGCAGUUCAUCAUGUGAUGCAAAUAAGGCAUACAAAGAAAAAUGAUAUUUGUAAAAACGUAUUUGCAAUACCAAAAAGAAUGCCAGGAAGGAAAUUUGUAAUAAAAGAUGUAGGAUUUAUGGCUCCUUUUUUGCUUCACAUCCUAAUCUAAUUAUGAACUCCUUCGAACGGCAGUUCCCUUGUGACGCUCAUUUAAGAGAAGUAAUAACCAGUGCAAUGAUUAAAACCAACAUUGUAGAACUACUCCAUCAUACCCAAGAUCCAAAUCCAUCACAGAGCUGUCUGAUCUGAUCUGCUGGUGCCCAGCCCCCGGGUAUUAAAUACCUUCUCUGGCUGAUAUAAUUAUGUACAUUUGAUAAAUUUAUGUAUUCCUGCUUUUUUUCAAGUUGAAAAAUGCUUCAUUUUGAACAAAGUCUUCCAACAUGAGCUAAAAUGGAAGCAGCAUAAUGCUUUUCUUCGGGCAGCCCCACCCCACAGCUCCUCCCUGCAGCUGCUGGCAGGUGGUUUCAGACCCCCCGCACCACCCCCUGGCUGCACGCCCCUCUCCUUGCCCCAUGGCCCCGGCUCUGACACUCGAUGGCUGCUCAGCAGGCCAGGUCAGGAACCAAUUCAGCUGAAAAUGAAUGCCCAAUGCGUGUCCCCCCCCCAAAAAAAAGUGACUAAUUUUCAGCUUUCCUUGCCGUAUGGGCAAGAAAACAGCAAACAAAUGCAGUCAUUUGUUUGCUCCUGCCUCUUCCCCAGUACUUUUUAAACUCUGAUUUUAUUCCCCAAGGGAGACAAAUUUAGCACUUUAGGUGCCAAAUCCAGGAAUAUGACUGCACACAUUUCUGAACUCAUGCAUUCUUUCAAAUGGAAGCAAGGAGACUCUUAUCUCCAGAGAUCUAAAUCUGAUUGCAACACAGACUAACAAGGGGUCCAGAAGUACUUUGAAUGUCACAAGAACGUGAAAGUGAGAGCCUAAAUUCUUGUCCUGAGAACUAGACUGAUAACAUGCUGUAUAGAUAACAUUUUUAAUUUAUUCAUUAUAUUCUGAUAAUUUUUGUAAUUACAUUAAUAAAGUGGAUAACGUUCUUUGAAGUUUAAUUUAGAAAGCACCAUGUUAUCGACAUGUAAUAAACCUCAUGUAUCUGUCCUCCUUCUUUUACUAUCAUGUCUAGAGACUCCUAUUAAAAGCUUUUAAAAA